GACAGAGGGUGCAAACGUUGUUCGGAAUUACUGGGCGUAAAGCGCGUGUAGGCGGUCGGGCAAGUCGGAUGUGAAAGCCCAGGGCUCAACCCUGGAAGUGCACUCGAUACUGCUCGGCUAGAGUCCCGGAGAGGAUGGUGGAACUCUCGGUGUAGAGGUGAAAUUCGUAGAUAUUCGGAAGAACACCAGUGGCGAAGGCGACUCACUGGACACAUAUUGACGCUGAGGUGCGAAAGCGUGGGGAGCAAACAGG
rnacentral:rRNA from 1 species